UUCAAGAUGAGCUUGUCCAAAAAUUGUUACCUCUGCCAAGGGUGCCUCUGGUCCUAUGGUGGAGAAGGGCAGGUAUAAAAGGCAGCUCAAGUCCCUGCUCUCUCAUCCACUUCUCUUGCCUCUUUCUGCUUGGGAACCAGGGUAACCAGGCUGCUCCUCACCCUCUCUUGUGCUCUGCUUCUCUCCAAGUUUCAUCUCCACUCUCAAGACAUGUCCUGCUACAACCAGUGCCUGCCCUGCCGGCCCUGUGGCCCAAUCCCACUGGCCAACAGCUGCAAUGAGCCCUGUUGCAGGCAGUGCCAGGACUCCAGAGUUGUCAUCGAGCCUCCUGCUGUGGUGGUGACCCUGCCUGGCCCCAUCCUCAGCUCCUUCCCACAGAACACCAUUGUGGGCUCCUCCAUCUCUGCUGCUAUUGGCAGAAUCCUCAGCUGUGAUGGAGUGCCCAUCAACUCUGGCUGCUGUGACCUGUCUGGUAUUUCCAGCCGCUACUUUGGCAGAAGGUACCUGCGCUGAUGAAGAUUUUGGGAAAGGCCCAGGGAGACAUGCUGAGGAACUCAAAACAUGGUAGUGGGCAUAGGAUCAAGAUUUUGGAUGUGUUUUCAAGUAUAGCUGAAUGGCUUUGCCUGUCUUUCCUUUAUCUUUGAUUGCUUUGGUUCCUCUUGGCAAUGAGGUUCCCUCAGGGCCAGUCUGGUGGGGAGCAUCUGUCUCCUCUCCCUCUAUGAGGCAGGCAGAUGAACUUAUGUAUGAACUUCUUCACAACCAUGGAUGGCAGAAUUUUGGAUUCCUCUGGGGAUUCCUGCACUGCUGUCCUCCACUUGCAGUGACUUUGUUUCCCUCUUUUGACUCAUUAAAGUUCUGCUGCAUUCAA